rnacentral:misc_RNA from 1 species
UUUUUACUCUCAUUUAGGUCAGUGAUCUGCCUCUCAUACUCAAUUCGAUUAACUUAUAGUUGUAAGCGCUCGCUAUCUUUUUAUCCCUUUAUUUUUAAUGUUUUUUUGUUUUUUUGUAUCAUGAGAUCUUGCUCACUUAUAGUUUUAUCGUUAAUUUUUUUACUUAAAUUAAUUCUGCCGAAUUGUUGUGAUUCGGUUCGCAAUCUGGAUCUUUAUUCAUCUUCAAUUGAAAAUCUGCUGGUGAAAUUGCCUAGAAAUCAGUUUUUACUUCCAAUUUUUAUCAUCAUUUUGCCCCUUUUUUUCUAU